rnacentral:rRNA from 1 species
UUUAACUGAAGAGUUUGAUCAUGGCUCAGAUUGAACGCUGGCGGCAGGCCUAACACAUGCAAGUCGAGCGGUAGAGGAGAAGCUUGCUUCUUCUUGAGAGCGGCGGACGGGUGAGUAAUGCCUAGGAAUCU